rnacentral:lncRNA from 1 species
CCCCCCCCCCCCCCCCCGGUUGUUAAAUGUUGAACGAUCGGCCAUCACCAGAUGUUGGUUGACAUCGGACCGAGAUGGCAGACAGGAGAGAAAGAAAGGACGACGAGAAUGGGAGCGCCGCCGCCGCUCACGGCGGUGGCAGGGGUGACGACGGUGGUGUGAUGGUCCGAGGAGUCUCACGUCGGGGUUCGGUUCAGCGGUAGAGUUGGUGGUGGCGGUCGUGACGGGGUGGCAACGUUGGGGUUUUGACAGCAGAACCCUGGUAUCGAUGAUGACCGAUGAUGAACGUUGAUGAUGACGGCAGCGGCGGUCAGUUGUGGUGAAGAUACGGUUCUAAUUUUGGCUCAGGUUCGAGUCAACUUAGUCGGAUACUUAAACUCGAGUUAACUCAGUCAAACUCGGGUCAACACAGUCAAAGAAGGGUCUCGUUUUGGGGUUCUAUCAGGAUCAGUCAACAGUAGACAAACAAUCAACUGCGGUUUGGUCAAACAUCAAAUUCGGGGCAGAUUUAUUCGGGUUUCGGGUUAAACCCGGUUGGCUCGGUCAACACCCGAGUCAACUCGGGUCAACAGUGGUCAACGGACGGUCAACAGUCAAUGGUCAACUGCCUGGUCAAAACCAGUCAAUGCGUGACCCGGUAUCGAUGAUGACCGAUGAUGAACGUUGAUGAUGACGGCAGCGGCGGUCAGUUGUGGUGAAGAUACGGUUCUAAUUUUGGCUCAGGUUCGAGUCAACUUAGUCGGAUACUUAAACUCGAGUUAACUCAGUCAAACUCGGGUCAACACAGUCAAAGAAGGGUCUCGUUUUGGGGUUCUAUCAGGAUCAGUCAACAGUAGACAAACAAUCAACUGCGGUUUGGUCAAACAUCAAAUUCGGGGCAGAUUUAUUCGGGUUUCGGGUUAAACCCGGUUGGCUCGGUCAACACCCGAGUCAACUCGGGUCAACAGUGGUCAACGGACGGUCAACAGUCAAUGGUCAACUGCCUGGUCAAAACCAGUCAAUGCGUGACCCGGUAAAGUUAUAACGACAUGAAAUUUAGUUUGGUUCAAUAUAGAUUUUAUAUUUUUACGCGACCGAGCUUGAACCGAAUGCAUUUAGUGAACGAUUUUCAUUUUUGACAUACUUGACGAACAUUUUUAUACAUAAUGAAUGCUUUAGUUGCAUGCUAGCGAGUUCACAUUCUUGGAAUGACAUCACGGAAUCACG